AUCAUCUGCCUGCGCAUGCGCGGCCUCUCCGUCAGCAACCGCGCCUGCGCCGCUGCCCACUGGGCACCUCUCCUCCGCCUGCUCGCCCCGGGAACAGCACGCUGGGCUGGAGCCCGUGCAGGGCUCUAACGCAUUUUAACUCAACCACCAGGUUCUGAUCAAGGGCCUGGUAAGAGGAGAGGAUGAUGAGGAUGUGGGGAACAAAUGCCCCCCACUUAGGGGUCCUCCAAAAAUCCCAUGGCCCCCGCCUGCCCUGCUAAGCCUCGUCCAUCCUUGACUUUCGGUGAAAAGGCCGGCUCGAGUCACCUCCUCCGUGUGGAACCAGGAGGAGUCUCAGUAGAGAGGGGCAGGGUAACUCGUCACAGGGACCCUGCCUUCCCCGAGGCCACUCGGUCACAGUUAGAUGAGAACCUCUUGCUCCCAGCGAGGCUCAGAGACCGCGGCCAGGCCAACUUACCAACUGCCCUGAGUCCAAGCACUUCUCGUGACUCCCAGCCAGCCCAGCAGCUGUCCCCCUAGCCUGGACCCCUGGGCCACCUCCUCUCUCCACUUCCUCCUGGAGUCUGUUGUCCUCAGCAGGCAGCCAGAGGGUCCUGCUGAAACCUCCCUCACAGGCACGGUCCCCUAAGUGUGCAAGUCCAGUCUCCCCCUGCGCCCUGUCCCACGUGGCCAGACCGCUCCAGACUGCGCCAGCUGGGCGCUGGUGGUCCCCAAGCCUGGAGUCCCUCCGCCAGGUUCCCUACUUCUUUUACUCCCUCUCCUCCCUCUGGGGAUGUCACCUCCUCAGGGAGGCCUCUCUGGCCACUCCCUCCUCUUGCCCCGUAGCUUCUUCCACGGGACUUCUCCCGCUCCAACCACUAUUGGAUCCUCUGACGUCUCAGAGGUUUCCCUUUCCUCCCACUGGCCAGAGCAGCCGCCCCACGGGACAGGGACUCCGUCUGCUCCCCACGCGCUCCUGGUACAUGACUCACAUCUGAGACUCAAGAUGAUGACACCAGGAACCGUCUGCCAGCACCAACCUCUCCAAAGCUCUAGCUGCCUCUCACUCAGAAGAAAAAGGGAAGACUUCUCCCCGGACAGAGGAUCCCCUUUAUCGUUAUCGAGCUCAGGAAGGUUUCCUCUUGCCCCCGCGGGCCGGCCGAGCGUCUGACAGCGAUCCAACCUCAAGUUUCUCACCCCUCACGAGAGCAAGAGGCUGAGACCCGAAUGUCGGCCAGCCGCACAGCCACAGCAGCGGCUCGGCAGAAGCGAACCACCUGGGACACACGCGGGAGGCAAAAGCAGGAGAACGCGAGUCCAUACCUGAACCACAGGGUGGCCUCCUGUGGGGGCUUUGACGGCCCCUCGGCUGCCCUCCGUCUCAUAGUGGGCCCGGUGAUGUGGCUUGGGCUGCACCUCAAUCCGCAGCUCAUAGGAGCCCGACUGAUUGGAGAGUGGCCACUCGAGGGGCGGAAGGGACGCGGUCACUGGGAUGCUGGAGGAAGAAAAGCAAUCAGUCACGGGUGUGGUAAACCAGAAUCAAUCCCCUUGUACAAUAAACAUAAAUGGCCCCUUUUUUUUCCCCCUGAAAACUGAAUCCGGUGGAUUAUGAAUUAAAACGGUAUUUGAAGGGCCACGUGUUGCUUGGAUAUGACAGCGGCUCAUUAGGACGCAGAGCUUUUCCUUUGCUUUCUUGUCCAUCCUGAUGAGGACAUUGUGACCGGCCUCUCAAUGCGUGAGGCCAGUGGCAUGCUAUGUUAGUUCUGUUUCUAACCACGCUCCUCACUGCUGUCACUGCUUCUCCUCUGGGGACUUGGAAGAACAGCACCUCCCACCUCUCAAAAACACCCCUUUGCAAAGAUGCGUUCCUUUUUCAGAGGGUUGACGUAGGAGAAAGAAUAUUUAAGUGGCAAUCAGGAGAGCCACACGUCAUGAACGUGCCCUGGGCCUUUAAGCAAGAACUUCACCUCCCUUAUUCCCAGUCUCUAGAACCACGUGGCACACAUGCUGGCCAGCAGCUGAGAGUUCUCACAGCUCCUCCUUCUACCCGAGAUGAGCUCGAGUAAACGUGCACUUGGGGAAGAGGCCAUUCCCAGCCAUGGUCAUGACUUAUGAGGUCAGUGAGGAAUGGGUCCUUGGACCACAGAGAUGCCCUGAUAUUACGUGGGGCGUGAGCCUCAGUAACAGGACUGGAGUUACAACCCAGUUCAAAUCCCAGCUCCACCUCCAGCCCUAAGUCGGAGCCUCUGCUGCCCUAGACCUUAGGGUCCUCCCUUGCAAAGUGGGGACGUGGAGAUCACAUAAAGAGCAUGACACAGAAGGUGUUGAUGAACGUUGGCUGUCAUCGUUUUUCCCGUCACACAUCGUAUGAGUCAAGCAGUUAUCUCCAGGAGACCCUCUGCCACGGACAUGGCAGCGGCCACACAGAUACCACCGAGGAGGCCUUGGUGGGCAUUGCCUUAAGUUUCAUUUUCUUACAGAGUCUCAAGAGCACCGGGUACAGCAGCACUUGACAGACGUGUAGAAUGGCAUCACUAAAGAGCUGACUGAGGUCUUGAAGAUUGGCUGGAACAUCCCUUCCAUCUCAGAGAACGCGAAGGCGCUUCCCCAAGAUCACAGGUCAGGACGAGGACAAGGCUCCGUUUCCAGUCUCCUGACUCCAAGGCCGGGACAUCAGGGCUCGCUGCCUCUUACCUUGCUAAUUUAUUUACAAUAAAUCCAAGACACUCUCAUUGACAGCGUGUCUCUAGAGCACCGGACGUUUGAUAUCCCAUUGAUCUGUGAAUCUGUAGUGGUGGGUGGAAGAUGCAUGUGGGAUGGGCAGGUAGGUGACUGAGCAAAUGCACACCUUUAUUUCAAAGGAGGCCUGAAUACUCUUGCAGUCUUGGAGUGGCCAAGGCCAAGAUUUGUGCCCCUGUGUCCCGAUUCCUCGUGCAGGACAGAAACCCUUAAACUGAUCGGCGUAUUCUUUCCCACUGAGCUUAGGGCUGUGAGAAGCUGGCAUUAGCAGAGGACUUAGUUAAGCACCUGCAAUGAAGCCAGUUCCUCCCUCCUCUGCUUUCUCAGUCCCCAGGGGAGAAGGGCAGAGGUGGGAGCACACCCCCACGGGCUCCCUCAGUGCCAGAGCCCAGCCGAAACAUACACUCCACAUUGGCACUAUCCCGUACUAUGCAAGAAAGCCUCCCCCGUUCCUCCUACCCAGACGCCUCCUGGGCCUCAUGACCCCCAGUGUUAGGGUGUCCAAAGGACCUUUAUUUCCACCUUGUGACAAAACCAAGAGGCCUUCAAGCUUCUGCAUGGAGCCACCAAGCCACACGUGUCGGACGCUCUUACUAACUGCCAGCGUGUACGCAAGUGGGAAUGUUUUAAAGUUUGCAAAAUAAGACCAAAAAACCCCUUUAGUCCUACACUAAUAGCUAAGAUUCACUGGAAUACCCACAAGUUCCACUUCAUAAUUCUGAAAUAGGGUCUGACCCUGACAUGGACUCCUAAGCAGUGGACCCCUGGAGUGGCCUGCCCUCCUGCACUUCAAUCCCAGGCUCUCCCGAGUGUCCUCAGCUGUCUUCCUGAGACCAAGGUCACCAGGAGCUUCUCCCUGGAGGCUCCAUUCUCUCCAUCCCACAGAACAUUUCUGCCAAUGUCUCAUCGGCUGGAACAGGUGGGGUGUUGCUCGGGAUUAAAGGACUCCGACCCUCAGAGCCUCUGAGAUCAGGCUGCAGAGAUGGAAGGGGAGGGUUUACCCAGGAUCAGGUCUCAGACCUAUCAGUUCGCAUUUCAAAUCCAAGUUCCUCCCUCUCUGGGCCAUCAAUCAAGUCGUGGUUUGGAAACCGAUCUGUAGCGGGGAAACCAGCACCAGGGACCCCAGGUUCCAGUUCCCAGCUCGGUCACCAACUAGCUGGUAACGGUGCGCGUGUCACUGCUCUGCUGUGAGCCCAAGUUUCUGUCUGUACCAGGGCCUGGCCUUCAGGGCAUUUCCUAAAGUGGCCCUGAAAAUCUUCAGGCACAGACCUCAGGGCGCUGUCACCACUGGCCUUUGAAAUCACUGCCCACUCUGCCCACCUCGAAGGCCCUGAGAAGGCCUGCAGGGGCCCCUGGGAAACCCCUCUUCCAGGAAACACCAAGGGACCCACUGUGGCCCUGCCGUCCGCAGAGCCUGCUCUGGAGGACUGCCACCCCGCACGCUCCCUGUGGUCAGCUUUGGUUGGGUGUAGGACUGAGCAAAGCCACGUGGGCAGGGUCCCUAGCCACCCUCAUCCCCGCGUCAAUCAAAACAGCUCUACCAGGGUGCGGUGGCUCUGUGGCCGAGGCUCACGGGCAUGCACAGGGCCCUGCGUUCCAUCCCAGAACCACGAAACAUAAACAAAUAAAUAAAUACAGCAAAACCCCA